rnacentral:rRNA from 1 species
UACGUAGGAGGCGAGCGUUGUCCGGAAUUACUGGGUGUAAAGCGCGUGUAGGCGGCCUGCCAAGUCUGCUGUGAAAGCGCCUGGCUUAACCGGGCGAGGUCGGUGGAAACUGGCGGGCUGGAGGCCGGUAGAGGGGGGUGGAAUUCCCGGUGUAGUGGUGAAAUGCGUAGAGAUCGGGAGGAACACCAGUGGCGAAGGCGGCCCCCUGGGCCGGGCCUGACGCUGAGACGCGAAAGCGCGGGGAGCGAACAGG